AUACUGAUUUUCGUAAGUAUUCUACCUUCACAUUUGCACUGAUCUUUUUCAGUCAUGUUGGUAAUUGAGUGCUAAUACUUCCAAGUGCACAAAUUACUAUUGGUAUCCCGUCUACUCUCUUCUUUGACUACAAUCAUCGUAUUUCCCAUUUCAAAUCGUCAUAGUUGUUUAUUUUUAUCUUCUUUCACAUUGAUCUUGUUGACACCGG